UUCAUGAAGCCGGAAUUGCUAGUAAUGGCAGGUCAGCAUACUGCCGUGAAUACGUUCCCGGGCCUUGUACACACCGCCCGUCACACCAUGAGAGUUGGGGAUACCCGAAGCCUGUGAGCUAACUUUAUAAGGAGCAGCAGUCGAAGGUAGAAUCAAUGAUUGGGGUGAAGUCGUAACAAGGUAUC
rnacentral:rRNA from 1 species